CCUACGGGAGGCAGCAGUGGGGGAUAUUGCACAAUGGGGGAAACCCUGAUGCAGCGACGCCGCGUGGGCGAAGAAGUAUUUCGGUAUGUAAAGCCCUAUCAGCAGGGAAGAAGAAAUGACGGUACCUGAGUAAGAAUCACCGGCUAAAGACGUGCCAGCAGCCGCGGAAAUACGUAUGGUGCAAGUGUUAUCCGGAUUUAGUGGGUGUAAAGGGAGUGUAGGCGGGACGGCAAGCGUGAUGUGAAAGCCAGGGGCCCAACCGCGGGACUGCAUUGGAAACUACCGGGCUGGAGUGCCGGAGAGGUAGGCGGAAUUCCUAGUGUAGCGGUGAAAUGCGUAGAUAUUAGGAGGAACACCAGUGGCGAAGGCGGCCUACUGGACGGUGACUGACGCUGAGGCUCGAAAGCGUGGGGAGCAAACAGGAUUAGAUACCCGUGUAGUC
rnacentral:rRNA from 1 species